rnacentral:rRNA from 1 species
UACAGAGGGUGCAAGCGUUGUUCGGAAUUACUGGGCGUAAAGCGCGUGUAGGCGGUCCUUCAAGUCGGACGUGAAAUCCCUAGGCUUAACCUAGGAACUGCGUUCGAAACUGCUGGACUAGAGUAUCGGAGGGGAUGGUGGAAUUCCCGGUGUAGAGGUGAAAUUCGUAGAUAUCGGGAGGAACACCUGUGGCGAAGGCGACCAUCUGGAAGAUUACUGACGCUGAGACGCGAAAGCGUGGGGAGCAAACAGG